GUCUUUGCGUCGUCGUUCACCGUCGACGCCGCUUUCAUUCUGAAGGUGCAACAGUUUCCAGUGUGUACGGUUUUUAUUGGUGGCGCAAUCGGGAAAACAAUGGAUCUACAUCGAAAGCGCUGCCAGGGUAAUCACGCGUGGAUACAUUUUCGCGUCAAGAUACCGAUAAAAAGUGACG